UCCUACGGGGGGCAGCAGUGAGGAAUAUUGGUCAAUGGUCGGGAGACUGAACCAGCCAAGCCGCGUGAGGGAUGAAGGUACAGAGUAUCGUAAACCUCUUUUGUCAGGGAACAAAGGCGGGGACGUGUCCCCGGAUGAGUGUACCUGAAGAAAAAGCAUCGGCUAACUCCGUGCCAGCAGCCGCGGUAAUACGGAGGAUGCGAGCGUUAUCCGGAUUUAUUGGGUUUAAAGGGUGCGCAGGCGGUCUGUUAAGUCAGCGGUCAAAGCCCGGGGCUCAACCCCGUCCCGCCGGUGAAACUGGCAGC
rnacentral:rRNA from 1 species